AUUCCGGUUGAUCCUAGGCCGGAGGCCAUUGCUAUCGGAGUCCGAUUUAGCCAUGCUAGUCGCACGGGCUUAGACCCGUGGCAUAUGACUCAUGAACACGUGGCCAAACUACCCUACAGACCGCGAUAACC
rnacentral:rRNA from 1 species